UCAUGCUGGUUUGGAGCAACCAUUUUGCCUGUCUGGCCCACACAGAAAAGCUGCAGCAGCAAGAGACACAGACAUUACAAUCUCAUCACUUUCAACAGCAAAUAGAAACAUGGGAUCUUAAACAUGCAUUUCUAAUUUGAACAACACAAUCAAUAGCUUUUCUAUUUUCCAUUUUUUCCAAAGGAUGAAAUGAGUAGGUUUCAAGCAUUACUGAAGCAAAAUGGAUGCUAUCCUUGCAUUGGAUUACUCUUUGACUGAGAAAGCAAAGUAACUGGAAGAAAAAGAAAGGAUUACAUAAAUCUGACAUCACAAAGCAGCCAGAAAACUUGCAGAUAUAUACAGUCUCAAGGAUUCCCAACUAGUGAAAUCCUAGAACCUAGGAUCAAACUUUCAAAAGUAUUUUAGAAGCAGUCUGAAGAGUAAAGUCAAUGUGAAGACUAGCCAUUCUGUGAUUGAACAGCUGGAAGCCAGACAAGAGAACAUAUGAUCUCUCUUCUUCUCAAGGGACAAUGUUACUCCUGAACGCAAAAAAACCAGUACUCAACAAGCCUAAAGUAAACAGCAUUCAAAGUAUUUCAAAUGGUUUGGUUACUUCAUAUUCAAUCACAUCAGAGACGAGAGCUGGUUCUGACUUCUGAAGCAAUGAAUAUGAUGAAACACAAAACCACAAAAAUAUAAAUAUUGGUUUCUUUAAUUUGUCUCUACCUGGAAGCUAAAUAGUAUAAAUAAGUCUUUAAUGAGGCUUUGCAACAUGUAUUAUUUGGAGAGCCACUAAAGUUACUAAAUAAAAAUCAGUCACAAAGAUCCUAAAAUUCAAUUAAAAAGAUGGUCUGAAAUCUUGUGGGUUUUAUGCUCGUGACACUUUUGCCUGAGUCAAGAUACAGAAUUUAGCAAAUACGCUGCAUCUUUUAGCAAAAUAAAUGAGCACAAUGCUGACAUCAUUGUUUUAAUGUAAACAUUUUAUUCCCGAAAUGUCAGAUCAUAAUAUCUAACUAAAGAACAGCACAUUUAAGAGUUGUCAUUGAUAUGUAAUAAGAGCUUUAAUUUUAGUAUUGUCUACAAGAAAAUCCAGCCUUUCAGCCUCUUUUUUUUUUUUUUUUUCUGAAGGUGACCAAGGGCAGGAACACAGAAGUUUAUUACUGGGUUUUGGUGUUUUUUGUGCUACCAUUUGUAACAGGCAGAGAAAUUACUUUUGAUAGUGAAUUUGGAAAACUAUGGGUCAGGAAGAGAAUAAGUCUGUCAAAUGUGUGUUCUUUUAAGAUGCAAUGGGCUGGUACAACUCUCACUCAGAUUGAUGGGAGGUUUUCUGAUUAUCUGAUAGGGCAUGUAUUAGAACUUCAGAUUUAUUUUUCUCCUGAGUAUUGAAAGUUAUUAAGUGGGUUUAGCCAAAUUCCCUCACAGACAAGCUUCUGGGUUUACAGGCUCAAAGACACAGUUUGUUUUAAAAUCCUUUUUAUAUAUUUUUUUACUGAUGCUUGAAAAUAGACAUAAAGCCAAAAGAAAACUUCACUAGUAGUUCACGAGGUUUGUAAUCUUGCAAACUGCAUUAUGCUUUCAGAUAUAUUACCUGGAUAUUAUAGAAAGGUAUCAAGCAUAUGGCAGUUUUCUAUACAGCUAGAAAUUCUGCUAAAACUGCUCUGUGCUUUACUUCUCAAAGGGAGAAAAGUAUGCCACUCUCUAAAACAAGUUUCAGUACUGCCAGACUGAUUUUUACAAUAGGGUAGUCACUGUUGGUAAGGUGUAUACAUACUGUCUCCUCUUCAGGAGUUGAGGAAAUGAAGGACUGGAAUUCUGGGGAUUACUGUAGUCCAGAUUCCUGCCUAUUAUUUCCUUUUGAGGCUACCUGCAUUGCCUCCUCUUCAAAGGCACUACCAGGAGCAAAGGAUUACUCAAGCCAAAACUGCAUUUCACCAAGUACAGGUUUCCCUCACUUUAUGCUGUACAUGUGUUCCUGGAAAAUGGCACAUAAUCUGAAUUCACAUAAAGGGAACCAACUUUACAAUGCAACGGAUAGGGCUAUGUUACAAAACCUCGACUGUACUGACCCCCAAACCCAUUUCUACCACUUUUACAAUUUUGGUACUCACCAACAGCAGACAGUACACACAAGCACAGGACAUUAUCAUAAUGGGGAUGGCAACUACAGAAACACGUUGCAGAUGAGCAAGGAGCAGAGAUCCACACAAGAGACUCUCUGUUCACUUCUGUUUCAAUUUAAUCUGCUCAGCCUGCAAAGACUGAAUUAAUUCAGCCUCAGGCUUUUUGACUGUAUGUACCUAGCCCAAGUGAUCCAAAACUGGUUUAAAGCUGUAACAGAACAGAAGUUCAGUGCACAUAAACUGCUUUCAAAGUGGCCGAAACCAGUUUAAGAUAAACCUGGUUGGAUGUAGUAUCAGACUUAACUGAUCACGGUCAAACUGAUUUAUGGAACUUUUGUCCCAGAUUCCUUCCUGAUUCAAGUUAACAUACAGUGUCCCAAUAUCCCGUAAUGCUUUGCAGCCCUGGGCUGUGCUGUCUGCUCCAGCGGAGCAGGGCCAGCCCCUUCCCCAGAUAUCAAACAGCUAAGGCAGUAAAGCCUCUCCUCCCAGCCAGCACCUAUCAGCCCCGUUGGAUGGUGGGGGCAAAGGAACAGACUCCCCAGACUCACCCUAGCCCCCAUGUGUACCAGACAAGGGGAAUGAAACCCCAGCAGUGGGGACUUUUCACCCCAACAGCAGCCAGGCAAAAAGGGUUGGCAUUGGCUCAGUCUCACCCCCUCUCAUUUUAUCUUUAGAGGCCUUUAACAAAGUUAACCUAAAAAUGACCCUUAAGCAAAUAUCCUGAGAGAUCAAACCCUAGGGCCUUUGAAAAAAUUGGAAAGAAAAGGUCACUUGCAGUGGUAUGGAAGUUCCCCAAAGUAAUUAAAAUGGUCAACAAAAGAAACUAAUUACCAAGCAAAAGAAUCUGUUGAGUAAGAUCCAAGCCCAAAUUUGGGAGUGGUGACAGGUUUGGGUAGGAGGGGCCCAAGACGGCAACUCACUCAAUAAAAACUGUAACCUACUGUCCCAAUUUGGAGGUAACCUCACUUGCAGAACAACGAAGGAAGAAUCGCAAAUGUAGGCCAGAUCAGACUGAUCACCUGAACCACCCUCUCCGUGAACACGAAUUUCUUAGUUCACGCUGAAGCUGAGGAGCACCCGAAAGGGACUGAAGGAAGGGGACUUAGUCCUAUCAGUAUUGAGGCCAGCCCAUUGAACCAUACUGCUGAGGAGAGCCCAUUAAAUUGUACUACUGAGGCCAACCCAUUAAAUUGUACUACUGAGGAAUGAAACCAUAUUUAGGUGUUUGGCUUCUCGGAAUUCUAGGAUUGUAAGUAUGUUAUGAAAAAUAAUAGUAUUGAUUCAAAUUUAACUUUGAGUUGUAAUUGUAAUUGUUUGGAAAGGAAGUACAUUUGGAGCAUUGUUUUUGAUAUAUGUAGUUAUUGUGUUCUUAAUGUUUGUGGUAUUUCUUAAAGCUAAGCAGUGUUAUAUGCGUAGCAAAUAAUUUUAAAAUAAAAUUGCGUUGUAUGAA